UUUAAAGUCUAACCUGCCCAAUGAAAUUUUAAAUGGCCGCGGUAUUUUGACCGUGCAAAGGUAGCAUAAUAAUUAGUUUUUUAAUUGAAAGCUGGAAUGAAAGGUUGGACGAGAAAAUAACUGUCUCAAUGGAAUUUAAUUUAUAAUUUUAUUUUUAAGUAAAAAAGCUUAAAUUUUUUUAAAAGACGAGAAGACCCUAUAGAGCUUUAUAUAUUGAAUUUUAUGAAUGUUUUAGUUGAUUUUUAAUUUUUAAUUUUUAGUAUAUUUUAUUGGGGUGAUAAAAAAAUUUAUAUAACUUUUUUUUUAUAUGAACAUUUAUAUAUGAAUAAUUGAUCCAUUUGUUAUGAUUAUAAGAUUAAGUUACCUUAGGGAUAACAGCGUAAUUUUUUUUUAGAGUUCUUAUCGAAAGAAGAGAUUGCGACCUCGAUGUUGGAUUAAAAUAAAUAUUUGGUGUAGAGGCUAAAUUAUUAGGUCUGUUCGACCUUUAAAAUUUUACA
rnacentral:rRNA from 1 species